GACGAACGCUGGUGGCGUGCUUAACACAUGCAAGUCGAACGGUGAAAGGGAGCUUGCUCCCUGGAUCAGUGGCGAACGGGUGAGUAACACGUGGGCAACCUGCCCCAGACUUCGGGAUAACGCUUCGAAAGAGGUGCUAAUACCGGAUACGAACUCCUUGGGCAUCCUUGGAGUUGGAAAGUUUUUCGGUCUGGGAUGGGCCCGCGGCCUAUCAGCUUGUUGGUGAGGUAACGGCUCACCAAGGCGACGACGGGUAGCCGGCCUGAGAGGGCGACCGGCCACACUGGGACUGAGACACGGCCCAGACUCCUACGGGAGGCAGCAGUGGGGAAUAUUGCGCAAUGGGCGAAAGCCUGACGCGGCAACGCCGCGUGAGGGAUGACGGCCUUCGGGUUGUAAACCUCUUUCAGCAGGGAAGAAGCGAAAGUGACGGUACCUGCAGAAGAAGCACCGGCUAACUACGUGCCAGCCGCCGCCGUAA
rnacentral:rRNA from 1 species